ensembl:lncRNA
UACAAAUAACUUAGUAGAUGCAAAUAACUUAAUCGUUACAAAUAACAAUUUAAAAGGAGUAAAAAAAUAUAAAUAUAAUUUAUUAGAUAAUUUAAAGGAUGUACAAGUACCUCAAGUCAAUAAAAUGAAUAGUGUAACAAAAACUUAUGCACAUACUGACAAUUUGAAUGAUACACUAAAAGGUUAUGAACAGAAUCAUAAUAUUUUAUAUAAAAAUUCAUUAAAUAGUAGUAAUAAUAAUAACAACAUGAUAAUUAAUGAUAAAGCUGUUAUUAAACCUAAUGAAAUAAUAAUACCUUAUUGUAAUUUAUUAAAUAAUGACCCAGACAAUAAUUAUAAUAAUAUUAAUGAAAAUGGGAAUAGUAACAGUUGUAAUAAUAACAUGACCAAUGUUGGUACUAGUGGUGGUACAAAUUGCGGUUCUAGUGGUGGUACAAAUUGCGGUUCUAGUGGUGGUACAAAUUGCUGUUCUAGUGGUGGUACAAAUUGCGGUACUAAUGGCAAUAAUAUUAUUAUUAUUCAGAAUAAAAACAAAAUGAAAUUGAUAAACUCAACAAAUAUAGAUAUUAUAAAUUCUUUAAACCCUCUUGAAAAUAAUGAAAAUAAAAAUAUGAACAAGAUGACUAAUACUACUAAUUUUAUUCACAAUUUUAAUAAUAAUAAUUAUAAUAAGAGUUGUAAUUAUAAUAAGAGUUGUAAUAAUAAUAAGAGUUGUAAUAAUAAUAAGAGUUGUAAUAAUAAUGAGAGUUGUAAUAAUAAUGAGAGUUGUAAUAAUAAUAAGAGUUGUAAUAAUAAUAAGAGUUGUAAUAAUAAUAGUAGUGGUAAUGGUGAUAAUAGUUGUAAUGACAUAAGUAUGCAAAAAAAAAUAAAUUAUACAAACCCAUUGGAUUUAUAUGUACACGACAAUAUAAGAAAUGACUCACAUGCGGAUAACAUACAAGCUAUUCGUAUAAAUAUGAAUAACAGCACAUGUGUAGAUAUAACAUGUAAUAACAAUAACCAUGACAAUUAUAAUAAAAAUAUUAACAAUACUAUCUGCAAUAAUGCAAACAGUAAUAAUAUGAUAAAUAUAGAUGACGUACAUAAUAAUAAACUAAUUUCUCCAAAAAAAUAUAUAAUACCUCAAAUAUUGUAUGACAAAACAAAAACCAACAGUAUACCGCUAGAUGCACACUUUUUAAAAAAUGAUCAUAAUAAUAUUAUGAAUACUGUUGCUAGUAGCAAUAAUAGUAAUAAUGGAGGAUCCAUUAUAAACACUAAUAUUACAAACGAUAAAUUAUUAUCAAUUAAUAGUGAUAAAUUAAUGAUUGAAGAUCCAAGGAAUGUUAAAAAAAAAAUCAUUAUGAAUUAUAGAGGAUUAAAUUUGUUGAAUAAUGAUACAACAAAUGAUUAUAAUAAUGUAGGUCAUAAUAAUAAUGACAGAUUAAAUAAUGUAAAAACCACUAGUUAUCAAAGCAUUGACAAUAAUAAUAAUAAUAAUAAUAAUAAUAGUAAUAAUAAUAAUAAUAAUAAUAAUAGUAAUAGUAAUAAUAAUAAUAAUAGUAAUAAUAAUAGUAAUAAUAGUAAUAAUAAUAGUAAUAAUAGUAAUAAUAAUAAUAAUAAUAGUAAUAAUAAUAAUAAUAAUAAUAAUAGUAAUAGUAAUAAUAAUAGUAAUAGUAAUAAUAAUAAUAAUAAUAAUAGUAAUAAUAAUAAUAGUAAUAAUAAUAAUAGUAAUAAUAAUAGUAAUAAUAAUAAUAGUAACAAUAAUAAUAAUAAUAGUAACAAUAAUAAUAAUAAUAAUAAUAAUAAUAGUAAUAAUAAUAAUAAAAAAACUAUUAGUUAUUUACAGACUCAACCACAAAUAAUAAACGGAAAUAAUGAAAAUAUAAAAACAGAUGUAAAAAAUAAUAUACUUUUAAAUAAUAUAAAACAUACUAAUACCAACAUAAUGAAUAAAAAUAAUAUUAUUUUUGUAAAUGAUAAAAAUUGUUUUUUUCAACAUAUUGAACAAAACCACAAAAAUAAUAACAUUUAUGAUUGUAUGAAUUAUAAAGAAAGUAUAUAUAAUAAUAAAAAUGAUAAUACUAGUGUUUGUGAUAAUUGUAAUAUAAUUGUUGGUAAUGGUAAUGGUAUGAGUACUGUUGGUAGUAAUGACAUUAAUCCUACUGGUAGUAAUAACGACAAUAAUAAUUACGUUUGUGAUAAUUCAUAUAGUUAUGCUGAAAAACAAAAAAAUAUAUAUUCUAAUAAAAAUUUUAAAACAUUAACAGAAACAAAUUUAAACAAUGAAUCUUAUAAUUCAAAAAAUUUA